rnacentral:misc_RNA from 1 species
AACGCACAUUGCGCCCUUUGGUAUUCCGAAGGGCAUGCCUGUUCGAGCGUCAUUUCACCACUCAAGCCUGGCUUGGUAUUGGGCGUCGCGGUUUUCCGCGCGCCUUAAAGUCUUCCGGCUGAGCUGUCCGUCUCUAAGCGUUGUGGAUUUUUCAAUUCGCUUCGGAGUGCGGGCGGCCGCGGCCGUUAAAUCUUUAUUCAAAGGUUGACCUCGGAUCAGGUAGGGAUACCCGCUGAACUUAA